rnacentral:rRNA from 1 species
ACGGGUAAGUAACACGUUGGAACCUGCCCACAGUGAGGAAUAAGCCACCGAAAGGUGGUCUAAUACUUCAUAAUAUCCAUCUCGUAUGGAUUAAAGCUUUAUGCGCUUUGGGAGGGGCCUGCGUAACAUUAGCUUGUUGGUGAGGUAAAAGCUCACCAAGGCUUCGAUGUUUAACUGGUUUGAGAGGAUGACCAGUCACACUGGGACUGAGAUACGGCCCAGACUCCUACGGGAGGCAGCAGUAAGGAAUCUUCCACAAUGGGGCAACCCUGAUGGAGCAAUACCGCGUGCAGGAUGAAGCGUUUCGGCGUGUAAACUGCUUUUAUCACCGAAGAUUAUGACUGUAGGUGAAGAAUAAGGACCGGCUAACUACGUG